rnacentral:tRNA from 1 species
GCACCCGUAGCUCACUUGGAUAGAGCACUCGGCUACGGACCGAGAGGUUUGGGGUUCGAGCCCCUACGGGUGCGCCA